UACGUAGGGUGCGAGCGUUGUCCGGAAUUAUUGGGCGUAAAGAGCUCGUAGGCGGUCUGUCGCGUCGGUCGUGAAAACUUGGGGCUUAACCCUGAGCUUGCGGUCGAUACGGGCAUGACUGGAGUUCGGUAGGGGAGACUGGAAUUCCUGGUGUAGCGGUGAAAUGCGCAGAUAUCAGGAGGAACACCGGUGGCGAAGGCGGGUCUCUGGGCCGAUACUGACGCUGAGGCGCGAAAGCCAGGGGAGCAAACGGG
rnacentral:rRNA from 1 species